CCCCCCCCCCCCCCCCCCCCCCCCCCCCCCCCCCCCCCCCCCCCCCCCCCCCCCCCCCCCCCCCCCCCUCACCUGGGGACAGGUAACAUCACCUGGGUGCAGGUAACACCACCUGGGCACAGGUAACACCACCUGGGCACAGGUAAAAUCACCUGUGUGCCACGCACAGGUACGGCCGCUCACCUGGGGACAGGUAACAUCACCUGUGCACAGGUACGGUCACCUGUGCACAGGUACGGCCGCUCACCUGGGGACAGGUAACAUCACCUGUGCACAGGUACGGCCUCACCUGGGGACAGGUAACAUCACCUGGGUGCAGGUAACACCACCUGGGCACAGGUAACACCACCUGGGCACAGGUAAAAUCACCUGUGUGCCACGCACAGGUACGGCCGCUCACCUGGGGACAGGUAACAUCACCUGUGCACAGGUACGGCCUCACCUGGGGACAGGUAACAUGCACAGGUACGGCCCCUCACCUGGGGACAGGUAACAUCACCUGGGCCCAGGUAAAGUCACCUGUGCACAGGUAAAGCUGCUCACCUGUGACCCCCUCACUUGCACACAGGUACAACUCACCUGUACGGGCAAUAUCCCCUCACCUGUGCUCACCUGUCCAGGCACACCUGUGCUCACCUGUACAGGUACAACCCUCACCUGCGACCCCUCACCUGUACAGGUACAACCCUCACCUGAGACCCCUCACCUGUACAGGUACAACCCUCACCUGCGACCCCUCACCUGUACAGGUACAACCCUCACCUGUGACCCCUCACCUGUCCAGGUAACACCCCCGCUCACCUGUGUGCACCCUCAGGUGGUUCCUCAGGUCCUUCCUCUCGGCGUAGGACUUGGGGCAGGUGCCGCACCUGUGCGGCCGCAGCCCCGCGUGGCCCCGCAGGUGCUUGCGGAACACCGAGGGGU
rnacentral:lncRNA from 12 species